UAAUCUUGAGUUAUACAAACA
rnacentral:piRNA from 1 species